UACGAAGGGGGCUAGCGUUGUUCGGAAUUACUGGGCGUAAAGCGCACGUAGGCGGACAUUUAAGUCAGGGGUGAAAUCCCAGAGCUCAACUCUGGAACUGCCUUUUGAUACUGGGUGUCUUGAGUAUGGAAGAGGUGAGUGGAAUUCCGAGUGUAGAGGUGAAAUUCGUAGAUAUUGGGAAGAACACCGGUGGCGAAGGCGGCUCACUGGCUCAUAUCUGACGCUCAGGCGCGACAGCGUGGGGAGUCAAACAGGA
rnacentral:rRNA from 1 species